CCUACGGGAGGCAGCAGUGGGGAAUCUUGCACAAUGGAGGAAACUCUGAUGCAGCGAUGCCGCGUGAGUGAAGAAGGCCUUUGGGUUGUAAAGCUCUUUUGUAGGGGAAGAUAAUGACUGUACCCUAAGAAUAAGGUCCGGCUAACUUCGUGCCAGCAGCCGCGGUAAUACGAAGGGACCUAGCGUAGUUCGGAAUUACUGGGCGUAAAGCGCGCGUAGGCCGUUGAGUUAGUUAAUUGUGAAAUCCCAAAGCUUAACUUUGGAACUGCAAUUAAACUGCUCGACUAGAGUUUGAUAGAGGAAAGCGGAAUACGAUAGUGUAGAGGUGAAAUUCGUAGAUAUUAUGUAGAACACCAGUUGCGAAGGCGGCUUUCUGGAUCAACACUGACGCUGAGGCGCGAAAGUAUGGGUAGCAAAGNGGAUUAGAUACCCUGUAGUCCAUACCAUAAACGAUGAUUGCUAGAUGUUGGAAACUUUAUUUCAGUAUCGCAGCUACGACAUAUACACUACGCCGUCGGUAGUACGACGACGACGGUAACGUACGAAGAGAGUAAGUAGUGUUGAGUAGUUGCGACGCGACGACGAGGAGAGG
rnacentral:rRNA from 1 species